UUUGGAAACGGGGGUUAAUACCGGAUGUGGUGAGGCGUCGCAUGGCGCCGAAUCUAAAGAUGGGGAUUCUUCGGAACCUGUCGCUUAUGGAUGGGCUCGCGCACUAUCAGCUAGUUGGUGAGGUAACGGCUCACCAAGGCUAAGACGGUUAGGUGGUCUGAGAGGAUGGUCACCCCCACUGGGACUGAGACACUGCCCAGACUCCUACGGGAGGCUGCAGUCGAGAAUCAUUCGCAAUGCGCGAAAGCGUGACGAUGCGACGCUGCGUGCAGGAUGAAGGCCUUCGGGUUGUAAACUGCUGUCAGGAGGGAGUAAUGUUUCGAUCAUUAAUACCGAUCGGAAGUGAUAGUACCUCCAGAGGAAGCCACGGCUAACUCUGUGCCAGCAGCCGCGGUAAUACAGAGGUGGCGAGCGUUGUUCGGAUUUACUGGGCGUAAAGGGUGCGUAGGCGGCAUCGUAUGUCGGAUGUGAAAGCCCACUGUUCAUCGGUGGAAUGGCAUUUGAAACUGCGGAGCUAGAGUACGGUAGAGGAGAGCGGAAUUCAUGGUGUAGCGGUGAAAUGCGUAGAUAUCAUGAAGAACACCGGUGGCGAAGGCGGCUCUCUGGAACGAUACUGACGCUGAGGCACGAAAGCUGGGGGAGCAAAAAGGAUUAGAUACCCUUGUAGUCCCAGCCGUAAACGGUGCGCACUUGAUGUAGGUCGGUUUACCCCGAUCUGUGUCGGAGCUAACGUGUUAAGUGCGCCGCCUGGGGAGUACGGUCGCAAGGCUAAAACUCAAAGGAAUUGACGGGGACCCGCACAAGCGGUGGAGCAUGUGGCUUAAUUCGAUGCAACGCGAAGAACCUUACCCAGGCUUGACAUGUAACUGCACGUCCGGUGAAAGUCGGACUCCUUCGAGGGUGUUACACAGGUGCUGCAUGGCUGUCGUCAGCUCGUGCCGUGAGGUGUUGGGUUAAUUCCCGCAACGAGCGCAACCCUUGUAAUUAGUUGCAAGUCGACCCGAAAGGGUUGGCGCACUCUAGUUAGACUGCCCGUGAUAAGCGGGAGGAAGGUGGGGAUGACGUCAAGUCCGUAUGGCCCUUAUGCCUGGGGCUGCACACGUGCUACAAUGGGCGGCACAGAAGGAUGCAAGACCGCGAGGUGGAGCAAAUCCUGAAAACCGUCCGCAGUUCGGAUUGAAGUCUGCAACUCGACUUCAUGAAGCCGGAAUCGCUAGUAAAGGCGUAUCAGCUACGACGCCUUGAAUACGUUCCCGGGUCUUGUACACACCGCCCGUCACAUCAUGAAAGCCGAUUGCACCCGAAGUCGCUUAUCCAACCCGUAAGGGAGGCAGGCGCCGAAGGUGUGGUUGGUAAUUGGGAUGAAGUCGUAACAAGGUA
rnacentral:rRNA from 1 species